rnacentral:tRNA from 1 species
AGUUAAUUAGUUUAAAAUUAAAACAUAUAUUUUGAAAAUAUAUAAUAGAGAAAUUUAUUAACUU